AGCUUCGUUGUUCAGCUGAUAGAAAGCUUGCCGUGUUGAGGGAUGCUGUGUUUGUUGCUGGUUCAAAUCCAGCCGAAGCUU
rnacentral:tRNA from 1 species